UACGUAGGGUGCAAGCGUUGUUCGGAAUUACUGGGCGUAAAGGGCGCGUAGGCGGUCUUUUAAGUCUUGUGUGAAAUCCCUCAGCUUAACUGGGGAACUGCGUCUGAGACUGGCAAGCUUGAGUGCAGGAGAGGAACGCGGAAUUCCAGGUGUAGCGGUGAAAUGCGUAGAUAUCUGGAGGAACACCGGUGGCGAAGGCGGCGUUCUGGACUGUAACUGACACUGAGGAACGAAAGCCAGGGGAGCAAACGGG
rnacentral:rRNA from 1 species